GCGGGGGUAGCAAAGUGGUCAAAUGCGCAGGACUUAAGAUCCUGUCCCUUAGUGGGUCCGUGGGUUCGAAUCCCACCCCCCGCA
rnacentral:tRNA from 1 species